CUUAUCCUUUGCUACCUGGGGUGUGCAGCCCAAAGCCCUUCUUUUUGUAGCCCUGACAAUGAGCGCCCACCUCUGGGUCAUUCAUACUUCUCUGCCAUAAGAAGCUAAUGACGUUCUGAGGAAGGGCAGCUCACAUUUGUCCGAAAACAAUUCGAGUUGACCAUCCAAUUGCCUCAGAAUUCGGAAGCCUUGACCACUCACUCGUGGCAGCAAUGGACAGAAAGAUUCACAGUAUGGAAGAGUGCAAGAGACAGCACAGCAUGUUCCCUGCAGAAAAUUCAUUCCAAAGACCACGUGAAGGGUGGCAUAUGAGCUCGUGCAUCUGACGCCAACCUAUUGUUGCAAUUGACAAACCAGUGUAGUUCCAACAUGGCUAUUGGUUGAUAUUUUUGUUUAUCCUAAUGAGACAAGUGAAACAAUGAAAACAUACAUUGGAACUUCGUUUGUUUGUUGAUGAUAUGGGUGACUUCUUUGCUGAAUUACAUAAUAGCUUUUGAAUACUGGAAGAAUACUCCCUCACUGUAAUGGCUAUACAGGUGACACACUUUUAAGUUUAAUCUGUGGGAUUAAAAUUUCUUCCAUCAGUUUCUUAUGUCUGGACAAUCAAUAAAAAGCUAAAUUA